GUCACUCUUUUCUUCCAAAUCACAGUUUCUGGAUAAGACCUGAUGGUGACACUGGCGUUUCAUCAUAAUUUUGAAGGUCCACCAUACUGAUCGUCACUGAGUCUCUCCAAAAAGGUGGUUUCUGGAUAAGCAUUCAUGGUCCAUCCGGUGGUCUGUCACAUGGCUGACGAUCCACCACAUUGAUCGUCACUGAGUCUCUCUGAGAGGUGGUUUCUGGAUACGGGUUGACGGUCCAUAUGGUGGUUCAUCACAUGGCUGAUAGUCCACCAUGUGGUUCGUCACUUAAGACAUUAGCAUGCCAUGUUCUGGUUUGCCUUGAAGGUUCACCUGGUGGUCCGUCACAAGCCUGAUGGUCCACUAUUUUGACCGUCAAACUCACUUUUUUGCUUUCUGGAUACGGGUUGACGGUCCAUAUGGUGGUUCAUCACAUGGCUGAUGGUCCACCAUGUGGUUCGUCACUUAAGACAUUAGCAUGCCAUGUUCUGGUUUGCCUUGAAGGUUCACCUGGUGGUCCGUCACAAGCCUGAUGGUCCACUAUUUUGACCGUCAAACUCACUUUUUUGCUACUUUUUCCAGCUUUCUUCUGUGGUUAUCUCCUUUCACUGAAAACACUAAAAACUUUAUUAAAUAACACUUUGGUUGCUUUAAAACAUACAAUUUUCCUAAGAAAAUAAUGCCAACUAUUCAGUAAGAUACCAGAACAUCAACACCCUACACUUAAGAUAAUUGCUUGUCCUCAAGCAACUCAGCACCUAAUUGUAUACAUGAGCAAUAAAAUGACAUGCAACCAACCCUUGAGACAUUUUGAUACAACUAUUCACUCAUCAGUUCAAUCACAUGCAUUUAACACAUCAAG
rnacentral:lncRNA from 1 species